rnacentral:rRNA from 1 species
GACGAACGCUGGCGGCGUGCUUAACACAUGCAAGUCGAACGGAAAGGCCCCUCUUUUGUGGGGUGCUCGAGUGGCGAACGGGUGAGUAACACGAGAGUAACCUGCCCUGGACUUUGGGUAAACUUCAGGGAACUUAGGCUAAUACCGGAUAGGAGCUCCAGCUGCAUGGUGGGGGUUGGCAAGCUCCGGUGGUUGGGGUUGGUUGUGCGGCUUAUCAGCUUGUUGGUGGAGUAGUGGCUUACCAAGUCUUUGAGGGGUAGUCGGCCUUAGAGGGUGAACGGCGACAUUGCUACUGAGAGACGGCCCAGACGGGAACGGUGGGCAGCAGUGGGGAGUCUGGCACAGCGGGGCGACGCCUGAUACGAAGACGCUGGGGGUGGGAUGACGUCUUUUGGGUUGCAAACCGCUUUCUUCUGAUACGAAGCGGUCAUGACGGUAACGGGUAAAGAAGCACCGGCUAACUACGUG